UACUUGUUUGUUCCUACUAGUAGUCAUAUGCUUGUCUCAAAGAUAAAGCCAUGCAUGUUUCAGUAUGAACAAAUUCAGAAUAUGAAACUGCGAAUGUCUCAUUAAAUAAUUUAUAGUUUGUUUGAUGGUAUCUACUACUCAGAUAACCAUUAUAAUUCGAAAUAUAAUACAUGCAAUAAACCCCAACUUCUGGAAGGGUUGCAUUUAUUAGAUAACUCGAUGGAUCACACGACCAUCGUACCAGUAACACAUCAUUCAAAUUUCAUCCCUAUCAACUUUCGAUGGAAGGAUAGUAUCCUACCAUGGUGAUGAUGGGCGAUGUAGAAUUAGGGUUCAAUUCUGGAGAGGGAGCCUGAUAAAUAGCUACCACAUCCUAGGAAGGCAGCAAGCGUGCAAAUUACCCAAUACUGAUAUGGGGAGGUUAUCAUAAUAAAUAAUAAUAUCGGGCUCAAUGAGUAUGGUAAUUAGAAUGAGUACAAACUAAAUCCCUUAACAAGGAUCCUUUGGAGGGAAAGUCUGGUGCCAGCCCCUGCAGUAUAUUUAAGUUGUUGCAGUUAAAAAGUCAUAGUUGGACUUUGGGAUGGUCCGGAUGGUCCGCCUAUGGUGUAGACCGAUCAUCUUAUCCCUUCUAUCGACGAUGCGCUCCUGACCUUAACUGGUCGGGUCGUGCCUCCGGUACUAUUACUUUGAUUAAAUUAGAGAUCUCAAUGAAAGCCUACGCUCUAUAUACAUUAGCAUGGGAUAACAUUAUAGGAUUUUGGUCAUAUUACGUUGUCCUUAAGAAUUGGAGUAAUGAUUAAUAGGGACAUUCGAGGGCAUUCGUAUUUCAUAGUCAGAGGUGAAAUUCUUAGAUUUAUGAAAGACGAACACUGCAAAAGCAUUUGCCAAAGAUGUUUUUAGUAAUCAAUAAUGAAAGUUGGGGGCUCGAAGAUGAUCAGAUAUCAUCCUAGUAUCAACCAUAAAUGAUGCCAACUAGGGAUCGGAACAGGGAUCGGAAGAUGUUGCUUUUAGGACUCCGCCGUCACCUUAUGAAAAAUCAAAGUUUUUGGAUUCCGGUGGGAGUAUGGUCGAAACGCUGAAACUCAAAGAAAUUGAUGGAAGGGCACCACCAGGAGUGGAUCCUGUGGCUUAAUUUGACUCAACAUGGGGAAACUUAACAGGUCCAGACAAAGUAUGGAUUGACAAACUGAGAGCUCUUUCUUAAUGCUAUGGGUGGUGGUGCAUGGUCGUUCAUAGUUGGUGGAGCGAAUUGUCUGGUUAAUAUCGUCAACAAAUGAGACCUCAGCCUACUAACUAGCUAUGCGGAAUAUCCCUUCGUGGCCAGCUUCUUAGAGGGACUAUGACUUUUUAGGCCAUGGAAGUUUGAGACAAUAACAGGUUUGUGAUGCCCUUAGAUGUUUUGGGCUGCACACGCAUUACAAUGAUGUAUUCAUGAGUUUACAGCCUUGGUCAAUAGGCCCGGGUAAUCUUUGAAAUUUUAUCGUGAUGGGGAUAGAUAAUUGCAAUUGUUAGUCUUCAACAAGGAUUUCCUAGUAAGCGCGACUUAUCAGCUCGCAUUGACUAUGACCCUGCCCUUUGUACACACCACCCGUCGCUUCUAUUGAUUGAAUGAUCCAAUGAAAUAUUUAGGUUGUGGUGACAUGGGAGGUUUUCUACCCAUGAAAUUUCCAGAAGUCUAUUGAACCUAAUCAUUUCGGUAAGGGAAAAGUAGUUACAAGGUUUCCUUAGGUAAACCUAAAAUAGGAUCAUUA
rfam:Capsicum annuum cultivar Zunla-1 chromosome 2, whole genome shotgun sequence